rnacentral:rRNA from 1 species
AUUGAACGCUGGCGGCAGGCCUAACACAUGCAAGUCGAGCGAGCGGCGGACGAGUGAGUAAUGUAUACGGACUACCAGAUAGAGGGGGAUAACUAAUGGAGACGGUGACUAAUACCGCAUACUGUCGGAUGACCCAUAUGGGAUUAGCUAGUAGGUAAGGUAAUGGCGUACAUAGGAUACGAUCCCUAGCUGGUCUGAGAGGCGGAUCAGCCACACUGGGACUGAGACACGUCCCAGACUCCUACGGAGGCAGCAGUGGGGGAUAUUGCACAAUGGGCGCAAGCCUGAUUCAGCCAUGCCGCGUGUAUGAAGAAGGCCCUAGGGUUGUAAAGUACUUUCAGUCGGGAGGCGUUACCGACAGAAGAAGCACCGGCUAACUCCGUGCCAGCAGCCGCGGUAAUUC